CUGAAACCGACGGCAAACAAUAAGGACGGCGUGUGGAAUGUUGUAAAUUGGCCCUCACAAACCUUCGGCCAACACCAUUGUCGAAGCUCAAGGGGAUCCUCGCCGCCAAACCCUGUGGCUUCGCCGUUUACUUCCGCGCACUUCGGAAACAGCGCACGCGAGAGAAACAGCGAAGAAGCUUGCGGAGAACGCGCGAGAACAUUCUGGAAUUUUCGGAAGCGCCAGAACCAAUGGGAGCGCUCAUCUCGCUGCGGCAGCCAGGCGCUCGGCCCUGAUUGGUCGAAACCACUCAAGCGCGUCCUGGAUGCUUCGAGAACUUCGUGGGAAUACUAUAAAAGGACGCGCCGCGCUAGCCCCGUGGCUUGCGGCCUGGGCGCAGCGUUCUGUGGUGCCGCGUAGUCUGUCAAUGGCUAGCAUGACGCAAAAGCUGGUUGGGCACAGCACCGAUGGCACCCGUCGACAGAGUCUGCUGAGGCAACUCGGCGCACCGCGCCGAAGACCGAAUCCGACGACCGAGAAUUAUGGAGACGUCACUUAAAAUUAUACAGUCGUUAAGCAGGCCCCUAUUUCAUGUCCGUUAGCGUGGCUUUUCGUCAGCUUACUGCGACGAGUGCAGCGGGGAGGGCGGAAAAGGGAAGGUAAGUUCAAAUAUUUUUUCUCGUAUUGGUGGCACAUUAUGUUAUGAAAGACUGCAAUUGAAAAGUUUGGCAGAAGGUGUUCGUUCGAGUAAGCCGUUAUAUAAGUUCUCUGCGGAGCUGAGGCUUUAAGGUAACCGUUCGGGCCUCAGAGUAUGCUUCAGCUACGCAUUUUGCAGCAUUUCUAGAGGGAGUAAAUAGUCGUAAAGAGCAAGCUGAAGAAAGAAAAGAAAAAGUAAACCUGCGGGAACCGCUAUCUAGUGCUCCCUCGAUCGGCUCAGCGCUUCCGUAGCGUUUGUGUUGGUCGCCUUCUGUCUUAGUGACGUGUUUUCUGCUCGGAACGGAUAAUCUGUGAAAUGAAGCGUCGCAGCUGUUCCAGCGUGGACGGCGAGCUUGUUGUUCUAGAUUUGUACCUCUUUCUGUAUGCAGGACGUGUUAUCUCAUACGAGCCCCUGGCGAUGAGGAUCAUUUUCGGCGUCGCGGCUACUGCGCCGAGUUGCCGUCGAUAGUGCCGCAGCGUAUGCGUUGGAGGAAAUGCACGUAAUGAGAAAGAAACGACACUGGUUGCGUGCGCACUCGUUGAUCUGAGUGUAGGGAGGCUGCACCUUAGGUCGUAGAGGAAGAGAGAAAUGAGUCAACCGAAGUCGUCAGACGUCCACCUUCGGACGCCCUGUCAAAGACGUAUCCGAGUCCCCCGAGGUCGAUAGUCCCUCGAAUGACGACCAUGAUCAUGGAUCCGAACAUUAGCCCAAUUUGGAAGACGUCCGUCCACACGACAGCCUUCAUGCCGCCCUGAAAGAGUAUCGGUAAGGAAACACUUGGGGUGCAUAACUGGAAUAACAUUCAUUAUACACUAUAAAUAAAGUGAAUACGAUAAAAAUCACCUCGAACAACGCUAAACAUGGUGGCACUAAGCUACAGCACGAUCUAAGGGGUCGAGUUGAGUUCGAUUGCGCGGCUACGAAAAUAAAGAAAUAUCUCUGAAGAGAUGUUUCACGACUCAGUGCCG
rnacentral:lncRNA from 1 species